rnacentral:rRNA from 1 species
GAUGAACGCUAGCUACAGGCUUAACACAUGCAAGUCGAGGGGAAACGAUAGAGAAAGCUUGCUUUUUCUAGGCGUCGACCGGCGCACGGGUGAGUAACGCGUAUCCAACCUGCCCAUCACUUGGGGAUAACCUUGCGAAGGUAAGACUAAUACCCAAUGACGUCCAUAGAAGACAUCUGAAAGGGAUUAAAGAUUUAUCGGUGAUGGAUGGGGAUGCGUCUGAUUAGCUUGUUGGCGGGGUAACGGCCCACCAAGGCGACGAUCAGUAGGGGUUCUGAGAGGAAGGUCACCCACAUUGGAACUGGAAAACGGUCCAAACUCCUACGGGAGGCAGCAGUGAGGAAUAUUGGUCAAUGGGCGAGAGCCUGAACCAGCCAAGUAGCGUGCAGGAUGACGGCCCUAUGGGUUGUAAACUGCUUUUAUAAGGGAAUAAAGUGAGCCUCGUGAGGCUUUUUGCAUGUACCUUAUGAAUAAGGACCGGCUAAUUCCGUGCCAGCCGCCGCGGUAA